rnacentral:rRNA from 1 species
UGACGGGGCCGCACAAGCGUGGAGCAUGUGGUUUAAUUCGAUGAUACGCGAGGAACCUUACCUGGGCUCAAAUGUAUGUUGACGUAUUCUGAAAGGGAUACUUCUUCGGACAAUAUACAAGGUGCUGCAUGGUUGUCGUCAGCUCGUGCCGUGAGGUGUCGGGUUAAGUCCCAUAACGAGCGCAACCCCUAUCAUUAGUUGCCAUCAGGUCAAGCUGGGGACUCUAAUGAAACUGCCUACGCAAGUAGUGAGGAAGGUGGGGAUGACGUCAAAUCAGCACGGCCCUUACGUCCAGGGCUACACACGUGCUACAAUGGCCGGUACAAAGGGCAGCUACCUGGUGACAGGAUGCUAAUCUCAAAAGCCGGUCUCAGUUCGGAUCGGAGUCUGCAACCCGACUCCGUGAAGCUGGAAUCGCUAGUAAUCGCGCAUCAGCCAUGGCGCGGUGAAUACGUUCCCGGGCCUU